GGGGAUAUAGCUUAGUUGGUAGAGCGCCUGCUUUGCAAGCAGGAGGUCCUCAGUUCAAAUCUGAGUGUCUCCA
rnacentral:tRNA from 1 species